AAAGAUACAAAGAAGCAUACAGAAGAAAAAUGAAAUGGACCAGCAGAAGGCAGCCUCAUUAGUAUAGAGAUGAGGAGCAGAAGACUUCUCUCUUCUGUCCUCAUUGAAAAGACAGUCAGCUUUUGUAACCUUGCCUUGGGGAUGUUAGCAGGAGAAAUGUUGGCAAUUCAAGGCUCUUCUGGUUUUAUAAGAAAACCAGGUUUUGCUGGGAGGCCUGGAGUAGAAGAGAGAGAGCCUUGGAGAAGCAAAAAUGGGAGGAGAGACAUGCCUAGAGAUCAGGAAGAGGGAAGAAAAAAUUUCUCAAGUACUGUUCAACUUCUAAUGCCAACUUAGAAGUAGUAGAAGGUAACUUUUCUGGCUCUCAUUUUCUCUCAUUUGAACAGCAGGGGUUACCCAAGUUAGACAGUAAGGUUGCCAGAGGUUGGUUGUAAAUCUCUCUCCUUCCAGUGCUCUUUGAUAUUAG
rnacentral:lncRNA from 1 species